AUCAGACAUCCGAGUUAACGGGCG
rnacentral:siRNA from 1 species